ACGCCCAGAACGACUCAGAACUGAAACGUGGCCGCGCGCGGUGCGAGAGGAAGCUGGGGCAGGGAGCCGGAGUCAGCCACGCGGUGUCCCACAAUGCUUCGCGGUCGCCUCGCCCUUUUGCCUCCCACAAUACCUCUCGGCUCCCGCCGGCUCCGGUCUGGUUUUUUGGUCGUGUUGGACUUGACCAGGAGGGCGGCCCCGCGCAUUACCUGUGCUGUUUUCCUGUGGCACCAACGCCGGGUACCAGACAUGCAGGUGGAGCAUGGACACAUUUGACCAAGAGCUGAACACAGGCAAGCAAGAGGAUCCUGGGUGGUGUAAACUGGGAUGCUGUCCGGGAGAGGAAGAGGAGAGGCAUCCUGGAGCAGAGGCGGGGACCUCCUGGACUCCGUGA